CGCGGGGUGGAGCAGUUGGCAGCUCGUCGGGCUCAUAACCCGAAGGUCGAAGGUUCAAGUCCUUCCUCCGCAA
rnacentral:tRNA from 1 species